CAGAUAAUUCAACCUACAGAAAAGAAUGUUUCAUUUGUUGUUUACUCUGAAAUUGUUCUAGGGUUUAGCAAAUUAUUUUCAGUUCGAAAUCAAAAUUUUUGUCAGAAGGUAAUGUUUAAGUUGAAGUGGUUCAGGUUAGCGGCCGGUGAUUAAUCCCAGCGAAAUCCGUUAGGAUUGCUGGUCCCAUGUUUGAUUUGCCAUCAAAAGCUUAAACUUUGAUGCUGAGUAAACUUGCUUCUGGAUCGGAAGUAAUUUGCAAUUUCUUGUAGAUGUAACUCAAAAUUGGGUUCUCAUAUCUAAUACCCACCCACACAUUGCAUUCAUGUUGAAUUGCUAAUUUUGUUCUCGAUCAGAUUUCAUAAAUGAAGGUUUGGGAUUGGAUUGUGAUGGUCAAUGGUAUAUGCUUGUUAAGAUGUUGGAGUGGAUAGCUGUAGAUGAACUUCCUGCAUUGUUUAAUGUUGGAGUGGAUAGCUCGAACAAAUUAUAUGGAACAAAAAUGUAGCAAUUACACAGAAGAAGGCUCUUUUUUCGUUGAAAAAAGCACUUGGAGUGCCAGAAAAUGUCAUUUCCUCUCCUGUACCAUCAUCGACACCCCUAUUCACAUUUGGAGCACCUACUAAUUCAAGCUCAGAUGACUUAUCUGCUUCGACCACUUCUUUGUUCUGUGCUCCUACUACUGUAGCUUCAGAGGCUUCCAAUGGUCUAAAUACAAGUUUAGAUACCACUAGCGCAACCACUAUUGUUGCUGCCAAUGGCAUCACCAACCCAUCCAACGUUGCUAGUACUAACAGCAGUAUAUCUACCUUACCAGCAACCCCUGCAGUGCCGUUCCAGUUUGGUUAAAGGUCUACCACAGCUGUUGUUUCAUUCACCUCAACUACUGCAAUUGCCAUCGUCUGUCUCAGAGGAUAAGCAUUUAGAGGGUAAAAUAAAGCAGCCAUCACCCUUUGGCAAUCUAACCUCUACUGGGGACACGCCAUCUACUACUACAAGUACUGGGAACGGCAUUUUUUAUUUCAAUGCUCCGGGUGCAGUGAGUCCCCCUUCUUGAAUAACAAAUCUCAGACUCAAGUCCUUUUGCAUCUACAACUGGAUCAUCUGUAUUCACCGCAAAGGCAGCCACUGCUGAAUCUGGAAGUGGGGCUGCAACAUCUACUAAUAGCACACUGAGUCCAUUUGGGUCUUCUGCUCCCUCUCCAACCUUCGGCUUUACCGCUCAACUGCAGUGAGCUCUAUUAGUUCUCCAUUUGGUAAUUUAGCCCCUGCUGCUAAUCCAUUUGGUUGAAGUCCUGGGUUUGGUCAAAGUUCUUCAACAUCCUUCUCUACAACUGCUGGUUAUUUCAGUUCUGAGACAACUGCAAAUUAGUUUAUUCAGUUCGAGUCUCAGUCUACUCCGUCUCCUGUUUUCGGUUCUGAAUUUGCCUCUGGAGCCUCAACUGGAGGGUUUUCAUUCUGGGGUUUAAGAACUGAUGCUGGUUCUACACCUUCUGCAUCAACGGGGUUUUCAUUUGGAUCAUUAACAACUCCUCUUGGCAGCUCCGCACCAUUGCCAAGGUCGUCUCCUUUCUCAUUCACCUGCGAUUGCUGGCACAGCCUCUUUGAACUCUCUCUUUCCUGUGUCUGGUUUUGAAACCUCAAUCCCUUUUAUGUUGGCACAUCCCCAAAUGAUGAUCAGAUGAAUAUGGAGGAUAGGAUGGUUGAGGAUGACCUUCGUAAGAACUUGUAACCGAAAACUUAGCUUCAAAUUGUCUGAUGUUUGGAAAAAAUAAGUGACAGAAAAAGCAAUAAUUAAGAGCUCGCAUCUCAUCAACUAUGGAUCAGUGGUUCAGAUUAGGUGAUACCUAUCGGUCUUAUGUUCUUGGGGUUACAUUUGGAUCGGUACCACUGAGAACAACUUACCAGAUGGGGACAUUGACUUGACCGCAUUUGGUGGUUAUCCAAACGUGAAAGAUACAUGGGCUAAUGAAGUUCAUAUUAUGUUGAAGAAUGAAGAGAAGAGUGAUACUGCUGAAUUCCAUGUAAAAGAGGUUCAGUACAUUCAAGCAAAGGCUUUUGUUGGUGAAGAUAAUAAAAGGCCUCGCGCAAAACAUAGGGGUAGAAAUAUCCUCGAGGAGGUUGGACAUUUGAUCGACCAAAACCAUCUUUUUGAGCGCAGCAUUAUACUAAUUAAGGCUUGGUGCAUGUAUUGUGAGAGUUGUAUUUUGGGUGCUCAUCAUGUCCUGAUUUCAACCUAUGCUCUUGAGACGUUGGUACCGUACAUAUUUAUUCUUUUGCUGGGUCUCAUGAGGUUCUUUAAUCGUAUCCUGGAAUUUUUCAGUAAUUGUGAUUGGGACAACUUUUGUUUAAGCCUCUGGGGUCCUAUCCCUUUUACAGCCUCACAGAUAUGACAGAAUCCCCUUGAAAGGAUGCUGGAGAGUUAUUACUCAAGAAACCCUUCCUCAAUGUUAGUACUUCAGUAUAUGCUGUUGUUCGAAUGCCCAAGAAAAUCCAGGCCAACCUUUUCUUUUUGUGCAUUUAACGUUGCCGACCAACUAUGUACCAACAACAACCUUGAAUGGUAAAGGUCAACAUUCUAAACUAAUUUCAUCAUUUCGCACACCUUCGAGUAUUCUCCUUCGUUGUUUUGUUCUUCUGAUGCCCUCGUUUCUAUAUGCAUUUGCCACUUAGUCGUCGUGACUUUAAACACAAUAUUUUAAUGUCACCACAGAAUGAAUGCCGCUUGAUAAAUUUACCAUAGAAAAGCUUAUAACUGAAUUACUAUUUGAACAUGAACUAGUUCUGUUUUCUGUGGUUGUGUUAAUUCAGGACGAACAAAGCGAUGAUUAUGAAAUUGAGAGGUUCUUUUUAUCUGUUAAUUAGAUUUUGAAAUCAAUAUCAAUUCCUGUAAGCUUUUGUAGAUGUUGUUUGGGCAUCCUUGGUUAUCGAGAUUAAGAAAAAAGAUAAUCCGAGCCAACCCAUCUUAUUUUAAUGUUUUUCUAACUGUUAGCCAAACGUAGAUUUGCUUGCAUCAGCAAAGGGUCGAGAAACUAUGAUUCACUGGGGAUGGCAGAAGGGUUCCUGGAGCAAUCUAAUGUGGGAACUCAUAAGGUUUAGCCAACAGUGUCUAUAGGGGGAAAUUACAUCUUUGAAAGUUCUCAUGAGCCUGAAAAUACUCAAGGUUGUGAUGUGGUUUUCAAAGGGGAACAGGAAGUUACUGACAUUGCUUUAUGAAUCCUAUAUAUAGUAUUCCUUCAUAAAGUUUCUCAUUACUAGGAGGAGGCUUCUUAUACCCGUGGUACAUGGUAUAUGCUGUGACUAGGGAUGUUACUCAAGAUAUUCUUUCGAUACCUUUACCCGUGGCUGAAUAUUUUGAUGAUAAAAUGAUUUGGCCACUUCACAAGUCUAGGGCAGUGACAGUUAAGAGUGCUUACUUUAAGCUUGUCACUUCCCAGCAAAAAUGCGUUGUCUAUGACAAGGAGUGGAGAUUCAUCUGGAAACCAUUGCCCCCAAAAACUUAGAAAAUUUUAUCUGGCUAUUAGUUAGCAAUAAGAUGAAUGUUAAAGAAAGAUUGUACAGAAGACACUUAGGCGAAGAUCCUUGUUGUUCUCUGUGUGGACAGGAUUUAGAAUAUAACUUUCAUCUUUUUUUCAAUUGUCCUGUUUUUUCACAGGUUUGGAGCAUGGUGUACAAUUACUGUGGCAUCAAAGUUCAUCUGGAACCUUUUAGUCCCACUUGAUUCAAAGAACAUUGUACGCAGAAGAUCAGCAAUUCUGAUUUGGAUUGGCGGUGCUUAUUUGUCCAUAUUCUCUGGCAUAUAUGGUUAGCUAGAAAUGCUUUUUAUUUUCAAAAGAAGAAUGUGGUUUGUAAGAAUGUCAUUAACUUAGCUGUUAAAGACACUAAGGAAUUCCUUAUGGCUAAUAAGAACCGAAAGAUAGAAGAGGCUAAGAAUAGAACGGUGGAACUACUUGUCCGAUGGAAUGUGCCUAAAUUGAGUUAUUUUAAGAUCAACACAGAUGGGGCUUCUAAUGAUUUGGGUAUUGCUGGUAUGGGAAGAGUUAUCAGGGACGACUCUGAAAGAUUUAAAGCUGCAUUUGCUAAACAUCUGGAAGAUUUAAAGCUGCACAAUAUGGCAGAGCUUCAAGCAAUAAGAGAAGGACUUAUGCUGGCCAGGGAGCUCAAAUUGUGCAGAGUGGUAGUUGAAAGUGAGUCGGAGUAUGCAAAUCCAAUGCUGCAGAGGAGAAGCAACCCCUUGCUGGUACCUACAGUCCAUUGUCAGAGAUAAAAUCUUUUUUGUUUUAUUUUGAUGAUUUGCAGUUUAGUCAUAGGUUCAGAGCAUCCAAUUGUGUGCCUGAUUGUUUGGCUAAAGCUGCUGUAUCUAAGGCUGUGGAAGGUGUGUGGAUGAAUACUCCACCUUCAAGGAUUGUAAAGUUGUUAAAAGAGGGACCCUCGUCCAUCUUAAAAGCCUCCACGGUACACUUUUUAUACCCAAAUUUAAUCAGGCAGCGGACAACACUUUGGGCCAAGAAGCAAAUUGGGUCACAUGAUACAUCCUGGCCAAAAUUUGAUUUUGAAAUUUUGGGGCACGGCAUAAA